rnacentral:misc_RNA from 1 species
UCUCCGUAGGUGAACCGGCGGAGGGAUCAUUACAGAGUUCAUGCCCUCACGGGUAGAUCUCCCACCCUGUGUUAUUAUACUUUGUUGCUUUGGCAGGCCGCCCGCGUGGGCUACCGGCUCCAGCUGGUAAGUGCCUGCCAGAGGACCCCAAACUCUGAAUAUUUUAUUGUCUGAGUACUAUAUAAUAGUUUAAAACUUUCAACAACGGAUCUUUUGGUUCUG